rnacentral:lncRNA from 1 species
CAAGGGGUUACAAGGUAGCCGCACACCCUCGAAACCCUUGCAUCCAAGCCACCACCAUCAACGAGUCCCCCUCCACAACCAGCUAGUCAGCCCCAAAAAUUAUCCUCGCAUAGACGAUGCCUUCAUAAACCAUCCGCAAUUCUAUAGCAGGCAUCAUAGUAUCCACGAGCCGAACACCCUUGACCACAAUAAAUCGAGAAUCAGGACUACGGAUCACAAAAUCAGUGCCACCUCUCCUGCC